rnacentral:rRNA from 1 species
GACGAACGCUGGCGGCGUGCUUAACACAUGCAAGUCGAACGAAGAGCGAUGGAAGCUUGCUUCUAUCAAUCUUAGUGUCGAACGGGUGAGUAACGCGUAAUCAACCUUCCCUUCAGAUGGGGACAACAGUUGGAAACGACUGCUAAUACCGCAUACGAUCCAAUCUCGGCAUCGGGACUGGAUGCAAGGUUGCCUCUAUUUAUAAGCUAUCACUGAAGGAGGGGAUUGCGUCUGAUUAGCUAGUUGGAGGGGUAACUGCCCACCAAGGCGAUGAUCAGUAGCCGGUCUGAGAGGAUGAACGGGCAAAUUGGGAAUGAGACAAGGCCCAGACUCCUAAGGGAGGCAGCAGUGGGGAAUCAUCCGCAAUGGACGAAAGGCUGACGGAGCAAAGACGCGUGAGUGAUGACGGCCUUCGGGUUGUAAAGCUCUGUUAAUCGGGACGAAUGGUUCUUGUGCGAAUAGUGCGAGGAUUUGACGGUACCGGAAUAGAAAGCCACGGCUAACUACGUG